UGAGAUUUGAUAAUCUGGAAUCAAAGAAAGAUAAUAAAUGGCUCUUAUGGUGUGACUUGGAAGAAAGGUUUCUCUAUAGAGGAAAGGAAUAACAAUUUCUUGCUAUAAUUUAUCCUAUAGAAAAUCUAGUAACAAGAAGAUUUAAUCGGAAAUAUCGACAAAUUCUUGUGGAGUCCAAAAAAAUGAAAUUAAAAAAAAUCAACUGCUCAUGCUCAAAUUUAAUCUCUAUCGAAUUUGAAUAUCAGAAUAGCGGAUAUAGUCAUGAU
rnacentral:lncRNA from 1 species